rnacentral:tRNA from 1 species
GGGCGGGUGGCGGAAUUGGCAGACGCGCAGCCUUGAGGAGGCUGUCCCGAAAGGGGUGGAGGUUCAAGUCCUCUCUCGCCCA